UACGUAGGUGGCAAGCGUUGUCCGGAUUUACUGGGCGUAAAGAGCGCGCAGGCGGUUGGAUAAGUCGAAUGUGAAAGCCCCCGGCUCAACUGGGGAGGGUCAUUCGAUACUGUCCGACUCGAAGGCAGGAGAGGGAAGCGGAAUUCCCGGUGUAGUGGUGAAAUGCGUAGAUAUCGGGAGGAACACCAGUGGCGAAGGCGACUUCCUGGCCUGUUCUUGACGCUGAGGCGCGAAAGCUAGGGUAGCAAACGG
rnacentral:rRNA from 1 species